rnacentral:tRNA from 1 species
GCCGUCGUGGUGUAGUGGUCAGCACGCUCGACGCGUAACCGAGAGGUCCGUGGUUCGACUCCCGGCGAAGGCG